rnacentral:rRNA from 1 species
ACUCCUUGGUCCGUGUUUCAAGACGGGUCGUUUAAAGCCAUUAUGCCAGCAUCCUAAGCACGAAUGUGGGCGAACCCCAGCCAUAAGGCGUGCUGCGUUCCUCGAUCCCAACCGCUGUAUGCGACUGAAGGCUAUAACACACCCGAAGGUGCCACAUUCCUCCAGCCCUUUUCCAGCGGUCAAAAUCGAUGCUGGCCCGUCAUCCGGAAAGUGCACCAAGCCGAAGCAAGGCUGAGUUCCGGACGACGCGACUGACUUCAAGCGUUUCCCUUUCAGCAAUUUCACGUACUGUUUAACUCUCUUUCCAAAGUGCUUUUCAUCUUUCCCUCACGGUACUUGUUCGCUAUCGGUCUCUCGCCAAUAUUUAGCUUUAGAAGGAAUUCACCUCCCAUUUUGCGCUGCAUUCCCAAACAACGCGACUCUUUGAGAGCGCAUCACAAAGCAUUGGUAGUCCGUGUCAAAGACGGGAUUCUCACCCUCUAUGACGCUCUGUUCCAAGAGACUUGUACACGGUCCAACGCGGAAAACGCUUCUCCAGACUACAACUCGGACGGCCAAAGACCGCCAGAUUUUAAAUUUGAGCUUUUCCCGCUUCACUCGCAGUUACUAGGGGAAUCCUUGUUAGUUUCUUUUCCUCCGCUUAUUGAU